rnacentral:rRNA from 1 species
AAAGCGCGCGUAGGCGGUUAAACAAGUCAGAUGUGAAAGCCCCGGGCUCAACCUGGGAACUGCAUUUGAAACUGUUUAGCUAGAGUAUGGUAGAGGAGAGUGGAAUUUCAGGUGUAGCGGUGAAAUGCGUAGAUAUCUGAAGGAACACCAGUGGCGAAGGCGGCUCUCUGGACCAAUACUGACGCUGAGGUGCGAAAGCGUGGGUAGCAAACGGGAUUAGAUACCCCGGUAGUCCACGCCGUAAACGAUGUCAACUAACUGUUGGGCGGGUUUCCGCUUAGUGGUGCAGCUAACGCAAUAAGUUGACCGCCUGGGGAGUACGGCCGCAAGGCUAAAACUCAAAUGAAUUGACGGGGGCCCGCACAAGCGGUGGAGCAUGUGGUUUAAUUCGAUGCAACGCGAAGAACCUUACCUACCCUUGACAUACAGAGAACUUUCUAGAGAUAGAUUGGUGCCUUCGGGAACUCUGAUACAGGUGCUGCACGGCUGUCGUCGGCUCGUGUCGUGAGAUGUUGGGUUAAGUCCCGUAACGAGCGCAACCCUUAUCCUUAGUUGCUACCAUUUAGUUGGGCACUCUAAGGAGACUGCCGGUGAUAAACCGGAGGAAGGUGGGGACGACGUCAAGUCAUCAUGGCCCUUAUGGGUAGGGCUACACACGUGCUACAAUGGCCGGUACAGAGGGCCGCAAACUCGCGAGAGUAAGCUAAUCCCUUAAAGCCGGUCCUAGUCCGGAUUGCAGUNUGCAACUNGACUGCNUGAAGCUGGAAUCGCUAGUAAUCGCGGAUCAGAAUGCCGCGGUGAAUUNGUUCCCGGGCCUUGUACACACCGCCCGUCACACCAUGGGAGUGGGUUGCAAAAG